GUAAUAGCUCACUGGUCGAGUCGGCCUGCGCGGAAGAUGUAACGGGGCUAAACCAUGCACCGAAGCUGCGGCAGCGACGCUUAUGCGUUGUUGGGUAGGGGAGCGUUCUGUAAGCCUGUGAAGGUGUGUCGUGAGGCAUGCUGGAGGUAUCAGAAGUGCGAAUGCUGACAUAAGUAACGAUAAAGCGGGUGAAAAGCCCGCUCGCCGGAAGACU
rnacentral:rRNA from 1 species